rnacentral:lncRNA from 1 species
GGCCUCUCGCCUCUUGCUCUCCUACCCUACCCCCGUGUGGGUGGGGAUCAAGUUGAAGGCAAGCCUGUCUCUCCCAGAAGGGGGUCACUCUGUGUCUAAGGGGGUGUUCUGCUGGCAGGACACUGGACAGGCCCUGGCCUGGGGGGCUUGUGUGUCUGGGAACUUCUUAUUCGUAGAUAGGCGUUGGCUGUGCAGGGGCCUGUGGGGUCUGCCCGUCCGGGAGCAGGUCUCACCAUCCUCUCACCUGCGCGACAGCAGGUGCCUCCCUGUUCCCUGUGACAAAGGCUCUGCCCUGCUCGCUGGGUGGAGACAGGGUUUCUUGAGUGUUCUCUUUCAAGGCUCAUGGUGGAAAGACCCUGUGCUCUGGGCUCGUAAGCAACGAGGAUGAAAUGCCACUCCCUCCCUCUGCCCCAGGAGCGCCUCGCCCAGCAUCCAUUGCCCGUGUUUCCUCGCCCGGCUGCUCUCCUCACCCGUGUUCGGGCUGCUUCUGUAUCAGCACCCACUGGAGGAUAAGUCAGCAGAUUAGGGUUAAUUUGGGAUAUGGCACUUUUUAGUUUUGGUAUUCUUAGACUGUAUUUUAGAACUACACAGGGCUGGGUUCUUAUUGAAUAUUAUCUUGUCAUUAUUGUCUGUUUUUCUCCCAGUCAUUAGAAUGAUUUUACGGUUAAAGAAAAAUCAUGUGGAUUCUGCCUGCACUUGGUGUUGGUGGCUUUGACUUGAGGAAGCACCUGGCAGUUAUAAGAGGCUGGGAGCCACACAGCCUGGGCUGGAAUCCCAAGUCUGCUACCUGAGGGAGGUGAGCUGGGCACCUGGGGUGUGA